rnacentral:ncRNA from 1 species
UCGACGGUCCUCCCUAACCGGAGGCUAACAGGGAAUGCCGUGACGCCCGCGAGGGCCAAUCGGCGGCUGUACCCGCAGCUGUAAGCGGAGAGCGCGCGCCAGCGAGUCACUGGACCACGGUCUGGGAAGACAGGCGCAAGCAACGACCCGUGAGCCAGAAGACCUGCCGGCGAU